rnacentral:misc_RNA from 1 species
GUAUUUUGAAUUGUUUAUUCAUAAUAUGUUAUCAGACGAAUGUUGUUAAAGAUAUAGGUUGAUAUUUGUGAAGGGAAAGAGUUGCCUCUCUCCCAACAAACAUUGCACACAAGGUGGAUAUGGAUUUUUAAAGAGUGCCAUAAAACACUCAUUGUGAAUGAUCCUUCCGCAGGUUCACCUACGGAAA